GACGAACGCUGGCGGCGUGCUUAACACAUGCAAGUCGAACGGAAAGGCCCUGCUUUUGUGGGGUGCUCGAGUGGCGAACGGGUGAGUAACACGUGAGUAACCUGCCCUUGACUUUGGGAUAACUUCAGGAAACUGGGGCUAAUACCGGAUAGGAGCUCCUGCUGCAUGGUGGGGGUUGGAAAGUUUCGGCGGUUGGGGAUGGACUCGCGGCUUAUCAGCUUGUUGGUGGGGUAGUGGCUUACCAAGGCUUUGACGGGUAGCCGGCCUGAGAGGGUGACCGGCCACAUUGGGACUGAGAUACGGCCCAGACUCCUACGGGAGGCAGCAGUGGGGAAUAUUGCACAAUGGGCGGAAGCCUUAUGCAGCAACGCCGCGUGCGGGAUGACGGCCUUCGGGUUGUAAACCGCUUUCGCCUGUGACGAAGCGUGAGUGAUGGUAAUGGGUAAAGAAGCACCGGCUAACUACGUG
rnacentral:rRNA from 1 species